rnacentral:rRNA from 1 species
AUUGAACGCUGGCGGCAUGCUUUACACAUGCAAGUCGAACGGUAACAGGCCGCAAGGUGCUGACGAGUGGCGAACGGGUGAGUAAUGCAUCGGAACGUGCCCAGUCGUGGGGGAUAACUACUCGAAAGAGUAGCUAAUACCGCAUACGAUCUAUGGAUGAAAGCGGGGGACCGUAAGGCCUCGCGCGAUUGGAGCGGCCGAUGUCAGAUUAUGUAGUUGGUGGGGUAAAGGCUCACCAAGCCAACGAUCUGUAGCUGGUCUGAGAGGACGACCAGCCACACUGGGACUGAGACACGGCCCAGACUCCUACGGGAGGCAGCAGUGGGGAAUUUUGGACAAUGGGCGCAAGCCUGAUCCAGCAAUGCCGCGUGCAGGAAGAAGGCCUUCGGGUUGUAAACUGCUUUUGUACGGAACGAAACGGCUCUGGUUAAUACCCGGGGCUAAUGACGGUACCGUAAGAAUAAGCACCGGCUAACUACGUG